UGAUUUUUGCUUUGUGGCUUUGAGUCAUCCAGGAUCAUAAAGUUGGUUCCUAGACAUUUUGGUGUAUUGCACUUUCUGGCAUUAUGAAGGACUAAUACUAGUGUCAUUAGGCUAACUGAAUACUGCCUCUCAACAUAUGGAAGCAGCAGAAGUUAAGGAUAUCUCCCAGAGGGUCGACGAACAGGAACACCUACUUCGUCAACACCAUGACCAGCUGGCUCAACUGGGUACGGUAAUGGAUCAGGUCCUCCACGUUCUCCACCACCCGCGAGAAUUCAUCUCCAACUAGUGGAUGAUCCUCUACCACGAGUCGUCCCAGCGAGCCAGAUCCCCAGCCGAUCCAGCAGCCGAUCCAGCAGUCUGCCCAGACAGGAGCACCCACCACCAAGAGGUCCAAGGUUGUUGCGGUCAUUUCCCUGCUUACCGGAUGGGCUUUGGAGUGGGCUACGGCCUUCUAGGAGAGGAGGAGCUGAGUUCCUAUGAGAGGUUCAUGGCUCUGUUUAUGGCAAUCUUCGAUCAUCCACCUGAGGGCAGAGCGGGAGGUGAGCGACUGCUCCGUCAGGGUGCCCAGAUCACUGCAGAGUACGCCCUCAUCUUCCAGACUGUGGAAUAAGACGAUUCUCUAAAUCCUGCCAUUGUAUCCCUCUCUCCGGUCUCCCUACUGCUCUCCAGGUCGCUGAGGCACAGUUACAGCAGGUCUUCCGACACUAUGGCCUUCCGGAGGACAUCGUCUCCGAUAGUGGCCUCCAAUUCACGUCACGGGUAUGGAAAGCCUUCAUGGAGAAGCUGGGGGUCACCGUCAGCCUCACUUCUGGGUACCGGCCUCAGUCCACCGGGCAGGUGGAGAGGAUGAACCAGGUGCUGGGGAGGUUCCUUAGGUGCUGGCCUGGUUCCAUCCCUGGAUAGAGUACACCCAGAAUUCACUGUGCCACUCCUCCACCGGGCAGACCCCCUUCCAGUGUGUCCUGGGAUAUCAACCAGCUCUGGCUCCAUGGACCCCAAGCCAGACCGACGCUUCUGCGGCAGAUGAGUAGUUCAGAAGGAGCAGGUGGAGCCGGCAGACUGAGGCUCCCGUAUUCCAUCGUGGUGAUUGUGUCUGGCUUGCCACCGGGAACCUCCUGCUCUGUAGGAAGCUGAGUCUCCGGUUUAUGGGGCCCUUUAAGGUCCUCCGGUCAAUGAGGUAACCUAUAGAUUACAACUACCCGGUGGUUCCUGGUUACCCGCCCCUGGACAUCAAUGGGAGUCUCACCUUUGCCGUCAGGUCCCUCCUGGACUCCCGACGUCGUGGGGGUUGGCUCCAGUACCUGGUGGACUGGGAGAGUACGGUCCAGAGGAGCGCUGUUGGGUCCCGUUGGACGCCCCCCGCGACGCCCCUGGACAUCGAUGGGCGCCUGCCUUUGCCGUCAGAUCCCUCCUGGACUCCUGACGUUGUGGGGGUUGGCUCCAGUACCUGGUGGACUGGGAGGGUAUGGGCCUGGCGUCAUCCUGCGGCUCGUGGAGGGGGGUACUGUCCCUUCCCCUCUGUCUCCCUACCCUUUUCUCAGCCCCUCACUCCACUUCCCUCCUGACUCUCACCCCACUCCCCUCCCAGGAAAUAAAAACAGCCACCUCUACAUCCUCCAAAAGUAGUUUCUAAACCUUCUUUCCUCAGAGAUAGAGGGAUGAAUGGUGAGUAGAUCUUUGCCCUACAGACAGUUCUCAUUCUAUUGAUUUGCUGUAUCUAUUGUCUGACUCCAGCACCACUCCUUUCUUCUCAGCUAUAAUGCUGUUAAAUUGUUUCAUUCUAAUCUAUUGUACAAUUCCCUCUGUGAAGGGAAACAUCCAUCGUCAGUGUGCACUACUACCACUUGCCAGUGAGAUGUUUUGUUCAUUAGGGCUCAUUGAAGCAAAACAAUUGGCAACAGAAAACAAAAGGCGCUUCUUAUUGGAUAUAUCCAGGUAGUCCUUCUCCAUUUCAGUUUUUAUUUUUCUUGUUUUGUGCCUACUGAACACAACCCAGUUCUGUACAAUUACCUUCCUUGCACCUGUAGUACCAGGUUCGACCCAUAGGAGUUCAGGUGGCAGAGAGUAUUGGCACCUUCUGUAUCAAUCCACAAUGUGCUGUCUCUCCCACUACAACCCAGGAACCCAAACUGAGACCACACCACGUCCUGUAAUGCACACAAUACAGUUCCAAUUACUAACACUGUAAUUACCAAUCAUACUGUAUAUUCAUGGUUGCUAUAAUCCCAUAUCAAUUUAUGUGGUCAUCUAUUUAAAUAAUCUCAUCUAACAUUUUAAACAUGUCAUUGUAAAGAAAACAAUUCAUAUUCAUGGCCAUGAGCAGUUUCAAUAUUACGGUAUGGCAGCAAUACAUCCCGAGGGAAACCUCCAUUGUCACUAGACACAGGUGAAAAUGCAUGCCCAUUCACCAUCUCAUUGGUUGCUUAAUAGGCAGUGCAAUGACUGUCAACAAAGGUUGUACCCCAAAUGACACCUUAUGCCCUAUAUAUUGUACUACUUUUCACCACACCCUUAUGGGCCCCGGUUAAAAGUAGUGCACUAUGUAGGAAUAGGAUGCCAAUUGGGACAGACACUCUGUAGAGGAAACAAGAUGUUUGUUGUCUGUAGGCUCUUUGUCAAACCAUGUGGGCUGUCAAUCAUUUCCUGUUAAAAAGCAACAAAAAAAGUGGGGUUUCUACCCAGCACCCUGGAUAAUGAAACCAUUACCAUGUUCAGGCAACUGUAAAUGAUCGACUUCACAAUCUUGGCUUUCAGCAACUUUUAAAUGGCGCUAUUCAUCAUUUAAAAAGGCAUCUGACUGCCUGUCUUUAAGGCAUGAAUUUCGUCAGACUUGUGAAAAAAUGCAGGCCGCCCCUUUAAGCAUCUAUUAUCAUUAAAGGAAAAUGAAUUAAUGGAGGCCAGCUUGAACUAGAGUGGACAUUCAAGGCCUUGACUGCCCGAGGACUCAAAAGGAAAAGGGCUGCCAUUGAAAAGUUCCACUGAAAAUGUCUGUCCUAUCACGACAGGAUAUCAUCAAAAAGAGAGAGAAUGUCUGCUGAUUGCUAAAGUUGUCACUUUUGAUUUGUACGUGUCUGUAUCAAUUUAGGCUUAGGCUAGUUAGCUUCUCCAGGGUUGCUGAUGGGGCAAAGGAAUUCAUUAAAGAUACCCAUGCAUCUGUUUGACAUUUACAUGUUGGUGUGAUACUGUCAGAACUGGACUCAAUUUCAUUUAAAUUAAAUUUGAUGAAUAAAUAAAAAAUCACGGCACAAAUUGAUAAUCGGCCAUUAUUUUCUCUGAGUACAACUUUAUUAAAGAAUGGAAUUUCAAAUACAUCUCUUGACCUGAAUGGACUGAGGAAAAAUCCCAUAUAGUUGUGUCUGUGCAUUGAAUAUAACAGAUCAGAGCAGCCCAUGUGUUAACCAAAAUGGCUUUCAUUUUGCAGAGUGAUUCAAGGGACAGGCUUUUGAUUGUGACAGAACCACUUGGACAUUCCGUAGAACUAACCCCAAGGCUUGAAUCUGUCUAUGGCUGAGCGCCUUAUGUGAGCCCUGUCCUCAACCGCCCUACAAGUUACUCAUCACACCUGGCAACCUGUAAACAGAAAGUUAGUGAUUGAGGACAGAAAUAGCAUACAAAAAGUAAGAAAUCACAGGCAGACAAAUUGCAGAGUGACAACAUGUAAUCCUUCUCAACAUUCUGUCAGUGCUGAAAAGACUAAUAAUUCUUAAUGAUGUUUUUCAGUUCCUUGAUUAUAUAAGAUCUAUGUGACUGUGUAGCAUCAUGAGAUUGAUUGAGGAGGGUGUGUAUAUCUGAAAUGGAGAGUAGUUUACCUCAAAUAUGUCUUGUCUUGGAGCAGCAGUGCCAUGUACUUGCAGUCUGCAUAGGCCCAGUACUCUGAGAGGUGGUAGUCAGAAAACACCCAACAUCUGCACCAGUCUGACCCUCUGUCCAGGACUGAUACUCCUCAAGUCUGGCCUCUACAUAUGAGCACUGUGCUCAAAAAUAAGUGCUUGACAAUGAAAAGAUAGAAAGGGAGAGAACAUAUGUUUCCCAUAUGUUUCCCAAAAAGUUGUACAGGACAAUCUCUAUUUUGGUGGCCUCUGGUACAUUCUAAUGCCUUGAUUCCAUCUGAAAUACAUAGUGAAAUGAUUGAAUACCUUUUUCAAGUUCACCUCCCAGAUUGGAAAAAUGUGUUGUGGUAUUGUGUAGAAAGACAUGAAUUUACAAUUGUAUUAUUGAUAAUGUAUUAAUUCACUGUAAAUAUAUGAUAUUCUAAGUAAAAGAAUAUUAAACAUUUAACCCAUAUUCUCUUGAGAUUAAAGCCUUAUUUAGAGUUUUACUGCAAGAUAUGAAUUGCCAAAAUGUUGCAUGUGCAGGGCAGUGGUAGAAAAAGUACCCAAUUGUCAUACUUGAGUAAAAGUAAAGAUACCUUAAUAGAAAAUGACUCAAAUAAAAGUGAAAGUCACCCUGUAAAAUCAUACUUGAGUAAAAGUCUAAAAGUAUUUGGUUUUAAAUAUACUUCAGUAUCAAAAGGAAAUGUAAUUGCUAUACUGAAGUAUUAAAAGUAAAAGUAUAAAUAAUUGUAAAUGCCUAAUAUUAAUCAAACCAGACCGCACCAUUUUCA